rnacentral:rRNA from 1 species
UACGAAGGGGGCUAGCGUUGCUCGGAAUCACUGGGCGUAAAGGGCGCGUAGGCGGCGUUUUAAGUCGGGGGUGAAAGCCUGUGGCUCAACCACAGAAUGGCCUUCGAUACUGGGACGCUUGAGUAUGGUAGAGGUUGGUGGAACUGCGAGUGUAGAGGUGAAAUUCGUAGAUAUUCGCAAGAACACCGGUGGCGAAGGCGGCCAACUGGACCAUUACUGACGGCUGAAGGCGCGAAAGCGUGGGGAGCAAACAGGAUUGAGAACCCUA